CCGACCAGAACAACUACCCCACAACAUCAGUUCCAUCUGGCUACACUUCUGCCACAGAAGGGUUUUUUAGGCCCAGUCCUAAUGUCCCCACUAAACCCUAAGCCCUGAACCCGGACUUAACUGACGUCACCUGUGAGUGGCAGGCAUGGCUCCUCCUUCCUCUGGCUUCUCCCUGAUUACUCCUGAUUCACAGCACCUGCUCUAAUCAGCACACCUGUCAUCCGUCAUCUCAUCAGCCAGACACAUCGACAGCCACUCUUCACCAGAUUGUUCAGUCAGCUACAUCGCAUCAUCAUGACCUGAUUACCUCUGCCUGCCCCCCGAUCAGCCUGCUGCUCACACCACUCACUGUGCUAACUCCUUCUGAUCCACCUCAGUAUACUCCUGUUGGAUCAACUCUGGACCCCCACCAUCGCCAUGCCAUUCCCCCACCUGCUCACCUGCUUCAUCCACUUCCCUUUUUUUCAUAUACUAUACUAACCGUCUCCUGUUCUGCAUUUGAGUCCACUCACACCACAGAUCAUAACAACUGACUCACUAUAAGAAAUCUACAUCUGGCUUCUCAUUAGAUCUGUGAUCUCAAUUUCAACAGAUGUGGUCUAUCUACACCUUAUUUUUGGUUGUGCUUCAUUAUGUAACCUCAGCAAUUAGUUAAAAAUUAAAAGAUUAAAAGAAAAAGCAUGUUGCUGUCAUGUGAUAUGUUGGCAGCUAAUGUCUUCAACCAUAUGAGCAAUCAUCCUCAGUGGUUUCAUUCAGAGUUGAGUGCAUGUUCCACAUGCCACACUUCUCUCAUCACAAGAUCUCUAAAUAUAGAAUGUGACAUAUUCAGCCCACAACUGUUUGAUUGCCCCACAUAUCUCCGGGGGCAGAUGUUUGAGAUGCCAGUCCUCACCCUGGGUUUUUAGUAUGUGCGCUCAUCCUUCUAAUCUAGCUCCGCGUCUUUAUGUGUCUCUGCUCAAUGAAGGUUGUUCUCUGACCACACCCUAUAAAACUUGCAAUCAUAUUUUAAAUAUUUUAUUUCAUUUUGUAAGCCUGUAUUUUUUUAUUUUUGUUUAUAUUAUAUUAUAAUUGGUCAAUAGUUUUUUUUUAUGUUCUCAGCAAAGUUUCUAGUACAUUUGGGCAAUCAUCUUGCUAGAGUAGUGAGCCUUCGAGCCAUCAUCACUUUACUGGGUAGAGUUUAAGUGUCCUUUGGUCAGUUUUAAGGGAUUUUAAGCUACACAAAGAAUAUUAUUUGAGGAAAACACUAAAGUUCUAAAAUAGUAAUUGGAGAGAAUAAUGUUAAAAUGUGGGAUACUGACAACAUGACAAUAUUGAUCCCUUUAGUCUGGAAAUGUUUUUUAUAGUGCUUAAAAUGAAUAAUAGUCAACCAUUAUUUUUUGCUGAAUCUGAUGCCUCAGAUAUAAUCUGUACAUAUAAUUAAUAAAAAAAUAUAUAUAUAACAGCGAAGCAAUCCUGACAAGGUUAGCAACAAGUGGUAACCGUCCAAGGUGCAGAACAACUUUGGUAAACAUUUUCAAUAAGCGGCUUGCGAUGGAACACCUUACCACCAGAAUUAAAAACACAAAAUUAGAACUUAAAGUUUUCACUACACAAGUGAAACAAUGGCUUAAGCAACAACAAAGGUGUGAACUCUGGCUAAGUUAUGUUUGGAUUUACUUGUUAAAUCUAGAGUUACAUACUGUAUACAUACUUACACUCAUACAUACACAAUAUUACACCUAUAUGUAUACACAUGCAUAUACACAUAUACACUGGCUGUUUUAGCUGUCCUAUUGUUUUUAUCCUGAUUCUGAUUCUAUUAUCAAUUCAUUUGUUUGAUUGUUUGAUAGUUUUAAAAGCCUAACCAGGGACAGGGGCUGCAAAUUAGCUUCAAUUACAUCUGUUGCAUUGCUUAUCUGUAUGUACCAAUGUUCAUCUGUAUGGUCACUGUUAAAUAAACAAAUAACAUGUCUCA